UAAAGUCGUCUUUGUCUAAACAGUAAACUCUGAACCUGAAGAGAAAAAUUAGGGCAGACAAGCGACGGCACAACUCCUCAGACGGGCGACUAGCGAGCGACAGACGGUGGGACGGGCGACGACAGUCAACUCCUCACUGUACGGGAGUUGCUUUGGUCGUGUUCAAUGUUGUCGGAUCAGGGACACCUGUUGCUAUAGAAAAUUAGAUUCAAGUACCUCCAAUCAGACUUAUCACGUUUGAGACGAGGCAUUUGUAGAGACUCCGAGGUAUAUUUGCCGAGUUCGAAGACCGAAGAGUCCCUUUCUACUCUCCCUUUUAAGUAUUAUCCCUUCUGUAUUAUCUUAAGUAUUAGCCCUUCUAUAUUUUCUUUCCUUUGUUAGAUAUUCUGGAGUUAGAUACUUGUAGACAU